AAAUGAAAAGGCAUGUUCGGGACACAUGGGACAGCCCAGUGUCUCCCCCUUAAAUUGAAGCUCAGCUCACAGCCCAGGACAGACGACUGAGACCACAGGUAGGAUAAAGACUGCAGUCAUUCUCUGGAUUUUAGAGGGAACAAUGUCAGGACYUUGUCAACCUAAAUGCAACUCAGGAGGAGAUGGGGCCAACAUUACCCUGGGCGGCAUGACUGGCAUCAAUGUUGAAGGGCAKAACUGUGGAACCAUUGGGAUAGGGAAUAACAUGGAAGUUGGACAGAAAGGCAGCGUGAAAACUGGAGACAUGAAAGAUGUUAAGGUCAAAUGCAACGAAGGAGUCAUCGGCAUAGGAAACAACUUGUGCACCAAAUGAGAAAGCUGCCCUCCGACUGAUAAACAACAACUCAUCUAAAAUAAUAAACUAUUUGGUUUCAUGUCAUUUAACACAAAUGUCUUUUACAAAGUAUUAAAGAUUGGAUUCAUCAUAGAGUUGAGAGAUAUUAAUGAUAAUAAAGACCACAUGCAAUACAUGCAA